rnacentral:rRNA from 1 species
AGAACGAACGCUGGCGGCAUGCCUAACACAUGCAAGUCGAACGAGACCCCAACUUCGGUUGGACGUCUAGUGGCGCACGGGUGCGUAACGCGUGGGAAUCUGCCCUUCGGUUCGGAAUAACUCGGAGAAAUCCGUGCUAAUACCGGAUAAUGACGUAAGUCCAAAGAUUUAUCGCCGAGGGAUGAGCCCGCGUAGGAUUAGCUUGUUGGUGAGGUAAAGCUCACCAAGGCGACGAUCCUUAGCUGGUCUGAGAGGAUGAUCAGCCACACGUGGGACUGAGACACGGCCCAGACCUCCGUACGGGAGGCAGCGAAGGUGGGGAAUAGUUGGAACAAGUGGGACGAAAGCCUAGAUCCGAGCAAGUCGGCCG